UACGGGGGGGGCAAGCGUUGUUCGGAAUUACUGGGCGUAAAGGGCUCGUAGGCGGCCAACUAAGUCAGACGUGAAAUCCCCAGGCUUAACCUGGGAACUGCGUCUGAUACUGGAUGGCUUGAAUUCGGGAGAGGGAUGCAGAAUUCCAGGUGUAGCGGUGAAAUGCGUAGAUAUCCGGAGGAACACCGGUGGCGAAGGCGGCUUCCUGGACCGACACUGACGCUGAGGCGCGAAAGCUAGGGGAGCAAACGGG
rnacentral:rRNA from 1 species